GGUCAGGAAGUGGCGGCGAGUGCGGAUAAGGGUCUGUCCCUCAGGUGUCUCUCUGCCCCCAGCAUGCUGUCCCUCAGCGCCCAGAGGCAAGUGCAGAAAACUGAAAUGCUGUGGGCUGCGCAGAAAGACAGGCAGCGGGAGCGAGAGCUGAGGAGUAUGAGUGAGUGGAAGGAGGACUCGCAGGGAAUAAUGGCUUCCCACACUGAGAGGAAUCGCCGUGCCGUAAGAGCACAAGAGAUGGAGCUUAUGCGCAAAGAGCUGUUAAUGGUACGUCGGGCUGCUCUAUACUCACUCCUGCAGGGGGAACAGCAGCAGCAUAAGGAGGAGCUGAACCACCAAGGCAAGACUAUUUAUACCCAGCGCAUCUGACAGCAGGAGACGGCGCCCCCCCUGGCUACAUGAUUCCUCAGCCCUGAACCUGCACCCUGAGAGCUAUAGAGAUGGGUGCAACUUACAGGGACCCAUUGGGACAAUGUAUUUAAUUCUCUGCUAUUCAUGGAAUCCCCAGGAUCUCCCACGUUUCAUUGCAGCAUUGCACUAUGGGCUCCAGGCGGCGCUGUUCCAGUAGUCACUGAGGGAGGGGCUGUAUCCCAAUAUAUAUGUUAUUUAAUAACCUGCCUGCUGUUUAUUUGUGGGUGUGAGGUUACAUGCAAUACAUGUAUAACACAAGGCCAUAACACAGAUUGAGAUUAUACAUCAGUCCCUGCCCCAUGGAGCUUACAAUCUAAUGUCCUUGCCUAUAGUGCCCUGGCUGGAAUUGAACCUAGGGCCCCAGUAGGUCUUCCUUCUCUCUCAUCCAAAUCCCUGCCAGGAAUCCCUAUAAUGUGUAGAACCGCCAUUCUAUGGUAGUAAUGGGUUGCUUUCCCUUUACACUGGACUCCUGCUGAAUCCCCAUUUGAUUGCACUGUUUAUGCUGCAGCCUGCACUGGUUUCUGUGCCACCAUAACCUAGGGGGGACCGGGCAGGAGCAGGAAUGGGUUUGGUGGUUCUGUGUGAGCAGGAGUAUGAAGUGGCCCCGGGGGGAACGGAUCUCUGGCGCAGGAUGAAUGAGCCCCUUAGUACUUAAUAAAGAGCUGCAAAUGGA